GCUUCUAAUAAGCCGAGCGCGAGGGAAGGCGAAAGGGUUGCUUUUAGGAUGAGUCACCGCGCGUGUGGCGCCUUCAUCAUCCCUCCGUCCGGUCCUGCCAACUCAGGUCGCAAGCAGCCGAGAUGGACGUCUCUGGCGGCAAAAGAAGCGGGACUUGGCUUUUUUCUUUGCAGGGUUGGGAUCCGCCUGCUGCAACCCAGCAACCCCUCAAACAGAACUGGAGAGAUGGAAGUUUGACGGAAAAUAGAAGUACUGGUUGUGCAUAGGUAUAUAUGCGACACUCGAUUUCUCAUCGUUGAUAUACUGGCCGCGAAUAAGUGAACUGACUCCGUUUCAAAGCUUUGCGUCAGUCACAUUGGUAAUCAAGGGAUGAACACAUCUAUACGAAUUAGUCCUUUGAGCGAGCAUGUCAAGAGGAUGGAUCCUGGCACAUCACGAUGUUAUUUUUUCCUACACCUGUAAGAGAGUAUAUCUUGUUUUUUAGGCAAACAAGCCUACCCAGACAUGUAACUUUAUUUUGGACAUUUAUGUUAAAACUGCUGUUUUUAUCUGUAUUGUGCUAAAUGUUAUGUCUGUUUCCUUUUAAAGUUUGCUUUUAUCAGUACUUUAAUAUAUAUUUUAUAUUGUUUUAUGUAAUCUGCUUAGAGGUUUUUGUUGAAAAAGCAGGAUAUAAAUCUUGUUAAAUUGGACCCCAUGUGUACCAGUUUGAUUAUUUGCACUACAAAUCAUAAAUUGCAAUGGUGGGAGGAAUGGAAGAUAACCCUUUUG